UAACCGGGAAUAUCCGUUUUCUGCCGAACCUCACUGCAUGACAGCUGAAACUUCCUAACUCAACGUAUCCUAUUGCACACGGUGGUUUAUUUUCCUUUGAUAAGGACGAAAUUGGAUAACUGUAAUAACUCUAGAGCUAAUACAUGCCCCGAAGCCCUGACCCGCGAGGGAAUGGGUGCACUUAUUAGAUCAGAAGCCAACCAGGUAGUGUUCUUCUGCCUUCGGGUGGGAGCUCCGCUGCCUGUCGUCCUUCUGGUGACUCUGGAUAAUUGUUACAGAUCGCAGUCGGCCUUGCGUCGGCGACGGGUCCUUCAAAUGUCUGCCCUAUCAACUUUCGAUGGUAGGUGACCUGCCUACCAUGGUGAUAACGGGUAACGGGGAAUCAGGGUUCGAUUCCGGAGAGGGAGCCUGAGAAACGGCUACCACUUCCAAGGGAGGCAGCAGGCGCGCAAAUUACCCACUCCCAGUACGGGGAGGUGGUGACGAAAAAUACCGAUGCGGGACUCUUAUUGAGGCUCCGUAAUCGGAAUGAGUGAACUCUAAAUCCUUUCACGAGGAUCAAUUGGAGGGCAAGUCUGGUGCCAGCAGCCGCGGUAACUCCAGCUCCAAUAGCGUAUAUUAAAGUUGCUGCAGUUAAAAAGCUCGUAGUUGGAUCUCGGUAUCACUGUCGCCUGCCAGUCCUCGGCUGAUUGUGUCGGUGUAGGUGGGACCUUGCUUCGCUCGGUGCCCCUUGCCCAGGCAUGGUCAUGCUCGAGUUGGCGUGGCGGUGGUGUCACCUUUCAGCCAUGUCUGUGGUGAAAUACCCGCAGGUGUAGGCGAGUGUCAGGCGGUGCUCUGCGACAGUAGGGUCCGUCGGCUCGUCUGCAUGCCUUUGGAUGCCCUUCAAAAGGUGUCUAUGGGCGGAUGGCACGUUUACUUUGAACAAAUUUGAGUGCUCAAACCAGGCCGAUGUCGCCUGAAAAGUUUUGCAUGGAAUAAUGGAAUAGGACUUCGGUUCUAUUUCGUUGGUUUUCGGAU
rnacentral:ncRNA from 1 species